GUCGAGCGGACCAGAACGAAGGGCAACCGGAGUUCUGGUUUAGCGGCGCACGGGUGAGUAACGCGUAGGUAAUCUACUCCGAAGACCGGGAUAACACCUCGAAAGGGGUGCUAAUACUGGAUACGCUCUUUCUUUCGACGGAGGGAAGAGGAAAGGUGGCGUAAGGCGCAAGCCUGCUACCACUUCGGAAUGAGCCUGCGUCCUAUUAGCUAGUUGGUAGGGUAAUGGCCUACCAAGGCUAUGAUGGGUAGCUGGUCUGAGAGAACGGUCAGCCACACUGGGACUGAGACACGGCCCAGACUCCUACGGGAGGCAGCAGUAGGGAAUAUUGGGCAAUGGGCGAAAGCCUGACCCAGCGACGCCGCGUGGGCGAUGAAGGUCUUGGGAUUGUAAAGCCCUUUUCAGGGAGACGAAGGGAUCGUCGGGAAAUACCUGGUGAUCUUUGACGGUAUCCCUGGAAUAAGCCCCGGCUAACUACGUGCCAGCAGCCGCGGUAAUACGUAGGGGGCGAGCGUUGUCCGGAAUUACUGGGUGUAAAGGGCGUGUAGGCGACCCCUUAAGUUGAAUGUGAAAUCUCCCGGCUCAACUGGGAGGAGUCAUUCAAUACUGAGGGGAUGUGAGGACAGAAGAAGGAAGUGGAAUUCCCGGUGUAGCGGUAAAAUGCGUAGAUAUCGGGAGGAACACCAGUGGCGAAGGCGGCUUCCUGGUCUGUCCCUGACGCUGAUGCGCGAAAGCCAGGGGAGCACACGGGAUUAGAUACCCCGGUAGUCCUGGCCC
rnacentral:rRNA from 1 species